CAGUAGCCGCGGUAAUACGUAGGGUGCAAGCGUUAAUCGGAAUUACUGGGCGUAAAGCGUGCGCAGGCGGCUUUGCAAGACAGAUGUGAAAUCCCCGGGCUCAACCUGGGAACUGCAUUUGUGACUGCAUGGCUAGAGUACGGUAGAGGGGGAUGGAAUUCCGCGUGUAGCAGUGAAAUGCGUAGAUAUGCGGAGGAACACCGAUGGCGAAGGCAAUCCCCUGGACCUGUACUGACGCUCAUGCACGAAAGCGUGGGGAGCAAACAGGAUUAGAGACCCGCGUAGUCCCUGUCUCUUAUAA
rnacentral:rRNA from 1 species